UUCCAGACUCCUACGGGAGGCAGCAGUGAGGAAUAUUGGUCAAUGGGCUUACGCCUGAACCAGCCAAGUCGCGUGAGGGAAGACUGCCCUGUGGGUUGUAAACCUCUUUUGUCAGGGAGCAACGCCGGCUACGUGUAGCCGGACUGAGAGUACCUGAAGAAAAAGCAUCGGCUAACUCCGUGCCAGCAGCCGCGGUAAUACGGAGGAUGCGAGCGUUAUCCGGAUUUAUUGGGUUUAAAGGGAGCGUAGGCCGGUCUUUAAGCGUGCCGUGAAAUUUUGUGGCUCAACCAUGGGAGUGCGGCGCGAACUGGAGACCUUGAGUGCGCGGAAGGCAGGCGGAAUUCGUGGUGUAGCGGUGAAAUGCUUAGAUAUCACGAAGAACCCCGAUUGCGAAGGCAACCUGCCGCAGCGUUACUGACGCUGAAGCUCGAAAGCGCGGGUAUCGAACAGGAUUAGAUACCCCCGUAUC
rnacentral:rRNA from 1 species